AGAUAUGGUGGUGGACUAAUCUCAAGAACAAAUCACUGCACAUGAAGUUGAGUCUCGGUUGGGACAUAAUUAUAAAAACCACUAGCAAGAUAGAUAAAUUAUUUGGCUGGGCAAAUGCACUUUUAGCUGCAUCUGUGUCUGUGCCUUAUCUUAAUCAGUUAAUUAUAACAUGAAAUGUCUUGUGCCAUCCUAUGAGCGAGUGACAGAUAUUGUACAUUGAGCAAUGACAGCUA
rnacentral:lncRNA from 1 species